rnacentral:rRNA from 1 species
AACGCGAAGAACCUUACCGAGGCUUGACAUCCCAGGAAAGCGCCGGAAACGGUGCCGUGCCUUCGGGAACCUGGUGACAGGUGCUGCAUGGCCGUCGUCAGCUCGUGUCGUGAGAUGUUGGGUUAAGUCCCGCAACGAGCGCAACCCUUGUCGUCUGUUGAAUUUUUCAGACGAGACUGCCCGGGCCAACCGGGAGGAAGGUGGGGAUGACGUCAGGUCAGCAUGGCCCUUACGCCUCGGGCCACACACGUGCUACAAUGGCCGGUACAACGAGUCGCCAAGUCGCAAGACGGAGCUAAUCUCAUCAAAACCGGUCCCAGUUCGGAUUGGAGGCUGCAACUCGCCUCCAUGAAGUUGGAAUCGCUAGUAACCGUGGGUCAGCAUACCACGGUGAAUACGUUCCCGGGCCUUGUACACACCGGUACUA